rnacentral:misc_RNA from 1 species
GGAAGGAUCAUUAGAGAAAUUAUUAUAUCAAUCUUUUACUAGUGCGGUCAGCACAGCAAUGUGCGGUCAGCAGUAGCAAGCAUACAAACAAUAUUACAAUAACAGGAUUUAAAAUUAUAUGAGCACCUUGCUGCAAUGGAUCUCUCGGCUCUUGCAUCGAAGAAGAACGCAGUCCAUUGCGAAAAGUCAUGCGACCUGCACUUUUUGAGAAGCAUUACUCUUUGAACGCACCUUGCACGUGAGGCUAUUGCCUUACGAGGUCCUGUUUGAGCAAGAUUUAAAAUUUUAUAAAUGACUGUUUUUUAAGAGAUGGUUUAAAAAAAUAUGGACAGCCUGGCCUGAACGACUCUAAGGCAUUAGGGUUAGAGUUUUGACAAAUAAAUAUUGGCAGAGAUUCAAUUCACGCAGUCAGUAUUUUGGAUAGUCAAACUUGACCGUAUUUAGAGGUUAGAUAAGAGUUAACUCUAUUCUAACCAACUAACAAAGUAACAACACGCACUUCUCAAAUCAGGAUAGAGGACCUGCUGAACUUAAGCAUAUCAGUAAGCGGAGGAAAAGAAACUAACGAGGAUUCCCCCAGUAACGGCGAGUGAAGCGGGAACAGCCCAUGGAUUAAAUGCGUGAUUCGUCAUGCAUCAUGUACCGUGAAGAGCACGAUUGUUGAGUCAGUAGAUCAAUUCAAGUUCUUUGGAAAGAGACGGCUUAGAGGGUGAGACCCCCGUAGAAUUGAUGAAUGACUUUAAAUAGAGCUCGGCGAGUCGGAUUGUUUGGGAAUGCAAUCCCAAUUGGGUGGUACGCGCCAUCUAAGGCUAAACAAGGGCAAGAGACCGAUAGCAAACAAGUACCGUGAGGGAAAGAUGAAAAGGACUCUGAAGAGAGAGUCAAAAGUGCGUGAAAUUGCAGCAAGGGAAACGAACGGUGGGAUAGCGGUUUGAUGAGAAUGAAUUGAUUUAAUGAGAUUUGUGGCAGUAGUGAAUAAUAUUUAUUUAUUAAUCACACGUAGAGCACAAUGAAGAUGAUACGGUUUUUCUCAACAGAACACACACCCAGUGUUUGACCCGUCUUGAAACACGGACCAAGGAGUGCCACACGCGUGCGAGUCUACGGGAACGACACCCCCCAUGGGCGCAAAGAACAUGAUGAGCUUAUUAUCUACGGAGCGGUAAGGCCCUGCGCGCGUCACUUUUUAGGAGGCGCGUCGAGGCAGAGCAGGCGUGUGGCGACCCGAAAGAUGGUGAACUAUGCCUGUCUAGGGCGAAGCCAGAGGAAACUCUGGUGGAGGCUCGUAGCGGUUCUGACGUGCAAAUCGAUCGUCAAAGGUGGGUAUAGGGGCGAAAGACUAAUCGAACCAUCUGGUAGCUGGUUCCCUC